rnacentral:rRNA from 1 species
UCUCCUACGGGGGGCAGCAGUGGGGGAUAUUGCACAAUGGGGGAAACCCUGAUGCAGCGACGCCGCGUGGGUGAAGAAGCGCCUCGGCGCGUAAAGCCCUGUCAGCAGGGAAGAAAAUGACGGUACCUGAAGAAGAAGCCCCGGCUAACUACGUGCCAGCAGCCGCGGUAAUACGUAGGGGGCAAGCGUUAUCCGGAAUUACUGGGUGUAAAGGGAGCGUAGGCGGCAAGGUAAGUAAGAUGUGAAAGCCCGCAGCUUAACUGCGAGGAUUGCAUUUUAAACUAUCUAGCUUGAGUACAGGAGAG